rnacentral:rRNA from 1 species
CUCUGUGACUCCUACGGGAGGCAGCGUGGGGAAUAUUGCACAAUGGGCGCAAGCCUGAUGCAGCAACGCCGUGUGAGUGAAGAAGGUUUUCGGAUCGUAAAACUCUGUCCUAAGGGAAGAAACAAAUGACGGUACCUUAGGAGGAAGCCCCGGCUAACUACGUGCCAGCAGCCGCGGUAAUACGUAGGGGGCAAGCGUUAUCCGGAAUCACUGGGCGUAAAGGGUGCGUAGGCGGCUUAGCAAGCCAGGGGUGAAAGGCAUUGGCUCAACCAAUGUAAGCCUUUGGAACUGUUAAGCUUGAGUGCAGGAGAGGUAAGUGGAAUUCCUAGUGUAGAGGUGAAAUUCGUAGAUAUUAGGAGGAACACCAGUGGCGAAGGCGACUUACUGGACUGUAACUGACGCUGAUGCACGAAAGCGUGGGUAGCGAACAGGAUUAGAUACCCUGGUAG